UUCUCUCGAUCAGCAGUAAAUUACAUGGCUGGUUGCCAAACUGCAGUUUCCAACAUUAUCAUGUCUGUUGUUGUGUUCUUGACAUUGUUGUUCAUAACCCCCCUUUUUGAGUACACUCCAAAUGCAAUCCUCGCUGCCAUCAUUAUCUCUGCUGUCAUUGGAUUAAUAGACUAUGAAGCCGCAAUUUUGAUUUGGAAGAUCGACAAAUUUGAUUUUGUUGCUUGCAUGGGAGCAUUUUUUGGUGUGGUUUUCGCCUCGGUUGAGAUAGGUCUUUUAAUUGCAGUAAGUAUUUUUCUGAGGAAGGCUUAACAAUUUCGUAAGAGAAAUCCGCAAUAGUUUAAUGAUUGAAUCUCAUUGUCUUUAUUAUUAAAUAGGUCUCAAUAUCAUUUGCUAAGAUUCUCCUUCAAGUCACAAGGCCACGAACAGCUAUUCUUGGCAAGAUCCCUAGGACAAAUGUAUAUAGGAACAUUCAACAAUAUCCCGAGGCAACACAAGUUCCCGGUGUACUAAUUGUGAGAGUUGAUUCUGCUAUCUACUUUUCAAAUUCUAACUACACGAGAGAGAGGUAAGCCAUUAUUUCUUCUAUCUUCAAUCGGAGUAGAUAGACAGACAGAUAGAUAGAUAGAUAAAAGAGUUUGUAAUUCAUGAGGAUGAACUUGUUUUCCAGGAUACUGAGAUGGGUAACGGAUGAGGACGAGCAACUAGAAUCCGCUGGCUUUCCUAAAAUUAGGUUCUUGAUUGUUGACAUGUCACGUAAGUGGGGAACGAUUAACUUUUAAAAAAACUUCAAGCAAUAUAUAUGCUACCACACUUCUUGCAAAUAAUACUUAAUUAUUUCAUGUUUUUCUACUUACUCUUUUGCAGCGGUGACUGACAUUGACACCAGUGGCAUCCAUGCCUUUGAAGAGUUGCACAGAAGCCUACAGAAGAGAGAAGUUCAGGUAAAGCUUAAUAAUCAUACCCAAAUAUAGUAUCUGAACUAAAAUAAAACCAUAGGUCUCUUGAUAUCUUACCCUUCGUCUGUUUGUGCGCGCACGGACAGCUUGUUCUCUCAAACCCUGGAAGGCAAGUGAUCGACAAGCUGCACGCAUCCAAUUUCGUGAGCCAAAUUGGCGAGGACAAGAUCUUUCUCACUGUUGCAGAUGCCGUGCUAACAUGUUCCUCGAAGUUCCCUGACGAAGUAGUCUAAAGUGGUAAAUAGCAUACAACCAUGGAAACUCACUCACCCCUAUGCUGGGACUGGGAGAAAGAAAAAUCAGCUAGAGAGAACCAAUUUGCAUAUAGCAAUGUGUAGUGAAUCAAAAAGGGACGUUGGAUCCUAAUUAUCAGUGAUUGGUGGGACCUUAGAAAGUGAUGGCAUUCUAAUCCAGAAGCAGAAAAUGGUUCAUAUAUAAGCCAAUUGUUAUAAUGCUCUUGUUGAGUUGUUAAAGUUCUCUGUAUGUUAGCUACAGUUCAGAUUGUAUAGAUAGUUCAAAACUUUCUUCUCAAUGAGGGCUUGCUAAAACCAAUGUUGGAAUUACCAGGAAUGCAUGCCAUCCCAUUAUAUACCAUUCAUCAACAAUAACCAAGAGGUUAAAGUUUGAAAUAAUGACUCAAUUAACUAUGGCUCAAUCCAAAUUUAAUUGGAGCCAGCUUUAUGAAUCGUUUGUGAUGUUUCCAUUCUAUUCAAGUGUUUUUCAUUCCAAUAGGAAAUGAUUUGACUUUUAUCACAAAUUAAAGUUUCUCCAAAAUUAGAGGUUCUCUACAUCUAAUACAUAUAUUUAGACAUAUACUAACCAUGCUAAAAGAGCUCUCGACAAAUAUGGACCUAAUGUAAAUAAAGAUGUGCUAUGUAAGGUUUGGAGUUGAUCGGC
rnacentral:lncRNA from 1 species